rnacentral:rRNA from 1 species
UACGGAGGGGACUAGCGUUUGUUCGGAAUUACUGGGCGUAAAGCGUGCGCAGGCGGUUGUGCAAGACCGAUGUGAAAUCCCCGGGCUCAACCUGGGAAUGGCAUUGGUGACUGCACGGCUAGAGUGUGUCAGAGGGGGGGUAGAAUUCCGCGUGUAGCAGUGAAAUGCGUAGAUAUGCGGAGGAACAACCGAGGCGAAGGCAAUCCCCUGGGCCUGCACUGACGCUC